UACGUAGGUGGCAAGCGUUAUCCGGAAUUAUUGGGCGUAAAGAGCGCGCAGGUGGUUAAUUAAGUCUGAUGUGAAAGCCCACGGCUUAACCGUGGAGGGUCAUUGGAAACUGGUUGACUUGAGUGCAGUAGAGGAAAGUGGAAUUCCUAGUGUAGCGGUGGAAUGCGUAGAUAUUAGGAGGAACAUCAGUGGCGAAGGCGACUUUCUGGACUGUAACUGACGCUGAGGCACGAAAGUGUGGGGAGCAAACAGG
rnacentral:rRNA from 1 species